GCACAAGCAGCGGAGCGUGUGGUUUAAUUCGAUGAUACACGAAGAACCUUACCAAGGUUUGACAUGCAAGUGGUAGUGAACUGAAAGGAACGACCCUUCGGGAGCUUGCACAGGUGCUGCAUGGCUGUCGUCAGCUCGUGUCGUGAGAUGUUCGGUUAAGUCCGCUAACGAGCGCAACCCUCACUGUGUGUUAUACGUGUCACACGGGACCGCCGGUUUUAAGCCGGAGGAAGGUGGGGAUGACGUCAAGUCAGCAUGGCCUUUAUAUCUUGGGCCACACACACGCUACAAUGGCCAGUACAAUGGGAUGCCAAGCCGCAAGGCGGAGCCAAUCCUGAAAGCAGGCCUCAGUUCAGAUUGCAGUCUGCAACUCGACUUCGUGAAGCUGGAUUCGCUAGUAAUCGCGCAUCAGCCAUGGCGCGGUGAAUACGUUCCCGGGCCUU
rnacentral:rRNA from 1 species